rnacentral:lncRNA from 1 species
UUUAUUAAAUCAUGGUUUGAUUUAUUGCAGCGAUCAGCUAACAUUUGGCUGACUCCAGAUAAUCCAAAUGUGAUUUUCAAAUUACUGUAUUGCCACUAUUGUUCAUUUGUUCCUUCCUUACUUUCUUAUAGCUGAAUCUUGUGUGACUGUAGAUAAUAGAGCUAAAUGUAGAGUGCUAUUCCUGAAUGAGUUUGUUUCCAAAGGCUUUGCACUAAAGAAGAAAUGUGUAGAAUGUUUUGCUUUAUUUGCUUUUAGGAACGUAGAUUGUCAUUUAGGAAAUGGCCUAUAUUCUACAAAGUGGUAUGAACAAUGCAAGGUGAAAAGUCAUUAAGGCUUGGAUUCUUAUGUCAAAAAUUUAAAUAUCCAAAGUUAAAAUGUUACAAAUGUUCUCAAAGAGUAUAGAUUGAGGGAAUUAUUUGAUUCUAGCCAAGCUCUUGAGCAUGAUAUUUAACAAGAGCUUGACAUAGUGGGUGUACACUUGUCUAACAAAAUAA